GGGAGGUAGUGACAAUAAAUAACAAUACAGGGUCCUUAUGGGUCUUGUAAUUGGAAUGAGUACAAUUUAAAUCCCUUAACGAGGAACAGUUGGAGGGCAAGUCUGGUGCCAGCAGCCGCGGUAAUUCCAGCUCCAAUAGCGUAUAUUAAAGUUGUUGCAGUUAAAAAGCUCGUAGUUGAAUUUCGGGGUCAGUAGGUUGGUCGUGCCAUUGGUAUGUACUGGCCUUACUGAUUCCUCCUUCUUGAAGAACUGUGAUGUCAUUUAUUUGGUGUUGCAGGGAAACAGGACUGUUACUUUGAAAAAAUUAGAGUGUUUAAAGCAGGCUAACGCUUGAACACAUUAGCAUGGAAUAAUGAAAUAGGACGUUUGAUCCUAUUUUGUUGGUUUCUAGGAUUGACGUAAUGAUUAAUAGGGAUAGUUGGG
rnacentral:rRNA from 1 species